rnacentral:rRNA from 1 species
AUAGUGGCGGACGGGUGAGUAACACGUGGGUAACCUGCCCAUAAGAGGGGGAUAACAUCCGGAAACGGGUGCUAAUACCGCAUAGUUUUCUUGAUCGCAUGAUCGGGAAAGGAAAGACGGCCUUUGUGCUGUCGCUUAUGGAUGGACCCGCGGCGUAUUAGUUAGUUGGUGAGGUAACGGCUCACCAAGACGAUGAUACGUAGCCGACCUGAGAGGGUGAUCGGCCACAUUGGGACUGAGACACGGCCCAAACUCCUACGGGAGGCAGCAGUAGGGAAUCUUCCGCAAUGGACGAAAGUCUGACGGAGCAACGCCGCGUGAGUGAAGAAGGUUUUCGGAUCGUAAAACUCUGUUGUCAGAGAAGAACAAGUCGGAGAGUAACUGCUCCGGCCUUGACGGUAUCUGACCAGAAAGCCACGGCUAACUACGUGCCAGCAGCCGCGGUAAUACGUAGGUGGCAAGCGUUGUCCGGAUUUAUUGGGCGUAAAGCGAGCGCA